UACGUAGGGGGCAAGCGUUGUCCGGAAUUAUUGGGCGUAAAGCGCGCGCAGGCGGCGAGGUAAGUUUGGUGUUUAAACUUGGGGCUCAACCCGAAGACGCAUCAAAAACUGCCUUGCUGGAGUGCAGAAGAGGAGAGUGGAAUUCCACGUGUAGCGGUGAAAUGCGUAGAGAUGUGGAGGAACACCAGUGGCGAAGGCGACUCUCUGGUCUGUCACUGACGCUGAGGCGCGAAAGCGUGGGGAGCAAACAGG
rnacentral:rRNA from 1 species